rnacentral:lncRNA from 1 species
UGUGUUUAAAGUUCUAGGUUCAGUUUUAAUAAUUGAUGGACGUAAAUUGAGUAAUUGAACCUAAGUUCGUUUCGAUUCGUGGUUAGGUGAAACUGUGAAUUGACGAUCCGACCGUUGGAUCGUCACCAAACUUUAAUACGUUGUAAUACGUAAUAUUUGAGGAUUAUAGGAACUUACGGAUCAGGAAUUAAAUUUACGGAUCUUUCAGAAUUGGAGUUGUAAGUUCAUAAAAUAGAAUGUUAACCGUCACUUGAUUUUCGAAAUUGACGGAGAUCCGACCGUUGGAUGGUAAUGAAAUUUUAGGAUGAUGUCCUAGAGGUAUAUUCUGGACCUCUGGAAGUUAUGGAUUUGAAAUUUGAGUUGCAGAUCUUCCGGAUCGAACUACGUAGUGGCAUGUCUUAUAUAAGUUAUAUAUUCUAUCGAUAUGAAUUCUGAGGUUGGAUUUGAUUAUUGUUCUAGGCGCUGAUCAUCAUGACGCCUUGAUGUGUGGUGCUAUGGAGUUGUUGGGCGAACUCUAGGUGAGUGGGCAGUUUUGAGUGAGUGGGCAGUUUUGUUUUCGUAUUACCUAUAUACUACUGUUUUUCCCAGAAAAUGCAAUUAUAUGAAAAUAUGUUUUAAAAUGUCAUGCAUGCAAUCGAUAAGAUAUUUGAAUUGAUAAUUGAUGCAUAUAUAUGUGAAUUGACGCUGUUGACGCACAUGUGAGUUUUUACAUUAUUCAUACGAUUUAUUUUAUGUGAAUUGCAUUGGAAGCUCAUAACCUGCACCCUAGGUGUUAGUGCUUAUAUUAUUCACCACACCGCA